AGCAGCCGCCGCGGUAAUACGUAGGUGGCAAGCGUUGUCCGGAAUUAUUGGGCGUAUAGGGCUCGCAGGCGGUUUCUUAAGUCUGAUGUGAAAGCCCCCGGCUCAACCGGGGAGGGUCAUUGGAAACUGGGAAACUUGAGUGCAGAAGAGGAGAGUGGAAUUCCACGUGUAGCGGUGAAAUGCGUAGAGAUGUGGAGGAACACCAGUGGCGAAGGCGACUCUCUGGUCUGUAACUGACGCUGAGGAGCGAAAGCGUGGGGAGCGAACAGGAUUAGAUACCCCUGUAGUCCCUGUCUCUUAUAC
rnacentral:rRNA from 1 species